UGCCUAAUACAUGCAAGUAGAACGCUGAAGAGAGGAGCUUGCUCUUCUUGGAUGAGUUGCGAACGGGUGAGUAACGCGUAGGUAACCUGCCUUGUAGCGGGGGAUAACUAUUGGAAACGAUAGCUAAUACCGCAUAACAAUGGAUGACACAUGUCAUUUAUUUGAAAGGGGCAAUUGUUCCACUACAAGAUGGACCUGCGUUGUAUUAGCUAGUAGGUGAGGUAAUGGCUCACCUAGGCGACGAUACAUAGCCGACCUGAGAGGGUGAUCGGCCACACUGGGACUGAGACACGGCCCAGACUCCUACGGGAGGCAGCAGUAGGGAAUCUUCGGCGAUGGGGGCAACCCUGACCGAGCAACGCCGCGUGAGUGAAGAAGGUUUUCGGAUCGUAAAGCUCUGUUGUAAGUCAAGAACGGGUGUGAGAGUGGAAAGUUCACACUGUGACGGUAGCUUACCAGAAAGGGACGGCUAGCUACGUGCCAGCAGCCGCGGUAAUACGUAGGUCCCGAGCGUUGUCCGGAUUUAUUGGGCGUAAAGCGAGCGCAGGCGGUUUGAUAAGUCUGAAGUUAAAGGCUGUGGCUCAACCAUAGUUCGCUUUGGAAACUGUCAAACUUGAGUGCAGAAGGGGAGAGUGGAAUUCCAUGUGUAGCCGGUGAAAUGCGUAGAUAUAUGGAGGAACACCGGUGGCGAAAGCGGCUCUCUGGUCUGUAACUGACGCUGAGGCUCGAAAGCGUGGGGAGCGAACAGGAUUAGAUACCCUGGUAGUCCACGCCGUAAACGAUGAGUGCUAGGUGUUGGAUCCUUUCUCGGGAUUCAGUGCCGCAGCUAACGCAUUAAGCACUCC
rnacentral:rRNA from 1 species